rnacentral:rRNA from 1 species
UUGCACGCUGGCGGCAGGCCUAACCCCUGCCAGUCGAGCGGAUGAAGGGAGCUUGCUCCUGGAUUCAGCGGCGGACGGGUGAGUAAUGCCUAGGAAUCUGCCUGGUAGUGGGGGAUAACGUCCGGAAACGGGCGCUAAUACCGCAUACGUCCUGAGGGAGAAAGUGGGGGAUCUUCGGACCUCACGCUAUCAGAUGAGCCUAGGUCGGAUUAGCUAGUUGGUGGGGUAAAGGCCUACCAAGGCGACGAUCCGUAACUGGUCUGAGAGGAUGAUCAGUCACACUGGAACUGAGACACGGUCCAGAUUCCUACGGGAGGCAGCAGUGGGGAAUAUUGGACAAUGGGCGAAAGCCUGAUCCAGCCAUGCCGCGUGUGUGAAGAAGGUCUUCGGAUUGUAAAGCACUUUAAGUUGGGAGGAAGGGCAGUAAGUUAAUACCUUGCUGUUUUGACGUUACCAACAGAAUAAGCACCGGCUAACUUCGUG